UUUCUGCUUGGGCUUUCUUCAGUUCACUUUACUCAUUUGUAUGUAUUUGUGUAUUGUAAGCUGGAGACCUAUAUUUUUGCAUUCCAGUUUUGGUUUUCACUGUUUUUCACCUUUGACUUGGCAAAAUUUUCAGCAUGUCUGUACCUGCCAGGAGUCCUCUGGAUAAAGAUGGUGGUGUGUCUCGACAACCGGAUGCAUGUGUUGAUGUCAUAUGUCAGUUUGGCAGAUGUGUGUUGGUGCAUGAGGAACCUGUAUGUGAGUGUAUGCUGGGAUACACAGGGGAAACCUGUCAGGAAACAGUCAAUGAGACUCUGGUUGUCCCACUCACUCUCGGUGUCCUGACUGUCACCAUUUUCUGCGUCAUCCUGUUAUUUACCAUUGCAAUUUUCUCUCAGAAGCUAAAGGCAAAAAAGAGAAAGAAGGCAGCUGAACAAGCCCUGUUAAGAAGUAGAGAGCAUCUUUGACAUGCCUUAAUGUGUCAUUCCAGAGAAAAGUACAGUCAAUGCACCACUUACAUGUCACGUGAAAGAACAUUCCAGCAUGACAUUUUCUAUUCAUUGCGCAUGAAUUCAAGCUGUGAUGUUGUUAGAGGAAUAUGAGUGUCACUGAAUGUACUUCACAAAAACUAUUUUAAGUCAAAAACGCAUGGUUCACAACAUUUUUGGAUGAUUUCUCUCCUGUACUUCUCUCCUGCUAUAGAUGUGCAUUCAAGUAAAACAAACUAGUUGCUUAAACAUGGUUUUAGAAUAAGCUCAUGAGUGCCAGGAGAGUCUGAUUGACUGAAGAGACUGAGAUUUGUAUACUGAUGGAUGAGUAUUUUUUUUAAGCGUUCAUGAAAGAGUCACACCAUUUUCAUGGCCCUCUGUUGCUUUUAGUUUUACUUUUGGAGGUACACAACUGUGUUUAUUGUGCAUAAAGGUUUCAUCUUAACAUUAUUAGCUUUCU